UUUUUGUGUAGUGCUCGAAAAGUUGUACCAACAUCACCUCCAAAACCCUCAACAACAACGACCACUACUACUCUUGAUCCCAGUGACGACAAUUCAAAUACAAAAUUACAUUCUGGAGGGAUUGCCGGGAUCGUAAUUGGAAUAAUUUUAGGUAUGGUCCUGGUUAUUGGAGUCAUUUACGUAGCUUUGCGUCCAAAGUUCCCAAAUAUUCCACUUUUAUUUCGAAGAUCAUCACCAAAACUUCAAAAAAAUGUUGCAUUUGACAAUAUGACAUAUUCAACUAGCUCGGAAAGUGUGGUAACGAGUAUCAGUGAAAAUAUGACCAAUGAAUGAUGCCUAAAUC
rnacentral:lncRNA from 1 species